rnacentral:rRNA from 1 species
UACGGAGGGGGCUAGCGUUGUUCGGAAUUACUGGGCGUAAAGCGCGCGUAGGCGGACCUGCAAGUCGGGGGUGAAAGCCCGAGGCUCAACCUCGGAACUGCCUUCGAUACUGCGGGUCUCGAGUCCGGGAGAGGUGAGUGGAAUUCCUAGUGUAGAGGUGAAAUUCGUAGAUAUUAGGAAGAACACCAGUGGCGAAGGCGGGUCUCUGGACAGUUCCUGACGCUGAGGCACGAAGGCCAGGGGAGCAAACGGG